ensembl:rRNA 5S_rRNA 5S ribosomal RNA
AACAGCAACAAUUGCCCACUGAAGCUAAGCAGGGUUGAGCCUGGUCAGCACCUGGAUAGGAGACCUCCUGGGAAAACUAGGUUGCUGCUGGAA